AGAAGACGCAAGUAUCAUUGCAGCUGCUUGUCGUUCCACGUGCCGAUUUACUGAAAGCUCUUUCACGAGGAGUCGAAGGAUUCCACGAACGAUUCAAUUAUUUUUAUUUUUUGAAAGGAAACCAGCAAAUGUUGGCAGAGAUACAAAGAUUUUCCUCUUUCUGGUUUAGUUUCUUUCUAUGUCAGUCUCUAAGAUGAAAGGUAAUUGCAGCAAACGAUAGUGUGGAAUUUUUCGAUCGACAAUUAUAUUACGUAACAUCGUAAACGAUUAACUACCAUUAAAUUGGCGACUCCUUGAGAUCGUGAAGUUCUUCGAGAUUGUUUAUGAGAACCGAAAUGAAGCUUCGGCUUGAGAUUUUCUAAUCGAAGGCAGACAUGUACUCGCCUGUGGGGCUUCGUGAAAACCGCUGAACAACUGAACAAUUUAAUGGCGCCACGGAGAACGAUCGGUAUCAAUCUAAAUGCAGAUGAACCACGAUUAUUUAUAGACAGCUUGUACGCUGAAUUCCAAACCGUCCGGCUAUAUAGGAAACUUUUUCUUUGCCAACUAUUCGAUCAGGCUAGACAUCUCUGUCACAGCUUCCUACCUACUUUUUAACAAUCUUUUCACCUACCAAGGAAAUUCGUAGCUUGCUCUUUAUAAGCAAAAAAUCAGGGCAAACUGUUUUGUCUGCGUCGCUCGAUAAAACGUUCGAGAAGCCCGCGUUUAACCGGAUCGUUUGACGCUGUACGAUGCAGCCGGUUUAACGUUCUACUUUUAGUUAUCAUCGCGCUGCUGGAGUAAAAGGUUAUCGUGUUAAGGAUACGUGUCGACGUGGCUUGCUUUAAAAGCAACCGAGCCAACCAGGCUUUGAAAUCCUGGGAUGGGCGAGGCCAACCAGAUAUCCGGACAGGAAGUUUGCGGGAAGUGCAAAGACGUUCCGCUGAUAGUACUUAGCGUCCGUGAUGAUGGACGGAAAUGUUAACCGUUACUAACAUAACAUAGCAAUUUGUUAGAGGAAUACAGUGGCUCAUGAAGGUUGAUUUCAAAUUCUGUCAGUAUAAUCAUGAUAAUACUAAUGAAAUGUCGACAUGUUUUGUAUAAUACACAUAAUACAUCGUUCAAAUAUUUCGUGAAUCACUGUAUGCAGAAGAAUAACACAUCGUAAUACGAAAUAAGAAGAAAGAAGGCAGUACAAAAUGAAAGAAUGAGUAGGAGUUUCUCGCUCGAACUGCUCUUAACGAUCAAAAGACUAAAAACACCGACAAGGAUGCUCGAUCGGGAUCUCCUCGAUUGCUUCCUGCUCGAAUGCCUGUAUCGAAACUCGUCGGAAACUGGGUCAUUUUUUGCCUCCGUUGUCGACCGUUCGCAUAAAUUACAUCAACUCGCGAGUAGUGAAAAAUAUGUCACGUUACGCCAAGGAACCGACUGCCGUCUUAAUAUACGAGGUGAGCGAUAAUUCGUAGCGCAAAUACAAUGGAACUCCCUUUGUAAGAACGAAAUUUUAGUUAGCGCCCGAUCGAUCGAUUUUGUACACUAUCUGCGCUUAUCUUCUUUCCCAAUAGUUUAAAAAUACAAGCAAAAUGAAUUUCGAAGGAUACACAGUUUAAAAAGAAAUUGAUAAUACACAUGCACUUGACUCAUGUUACUGAUAUCACACAGUGUACUAUUUCUGCCGCUGUUUAUAUAUAUGUUUCUUUUUGUAUAGAUAAAAUGGUUUAUACAGUGUUAGAGCUUCUUUGCCAUCGAUUGUUCGAAAUGUUGACUAUUAAUAUUAGAAUAGAUGGUUCGUUACCAUCACCUAUUCUUAUUGUAUUCACAAAUCGAAAAAGUAAUUACUAGAUAAAUAUUGAUAGCAAAUAAGCCUUAUAUUUGAAGUCGCAAUCUAUAAUCAAAUUCCAAACGCCAAUUAUCGAUGAGGUGUACACGUGUAUUCAAUUGACUUUCAAAUACAUUUUUCUCCGAAAGAACCUUCAAUACAAUUCUGUUAUUCUCUGCUUUUGCCUUAUUUUCAGCCAUAGAAUCUACCUCACUCCACUUAUACCACGAUUUAUGGACGACGAUAUAUAAACCGGUGCGCAAUGCAGUUCCGGUUACAACGGAGAAAUCUUGGAUGACUGAAAAAGAAAAAAGAAGAAGGGAUUCGCCUCACGUCGAGUGAAAUAUAACAAAGUAUUCCGAAUAAGUUGACUCCGUUGACUUCCGGUGCUUCAAGUCCCGUACACACAAAGCAUACUUCAAAAUUAUGUAGAUUAUAAAUGACCCAAUUUCCAUGUCGCAGACUGUACUCGCAACUGUUGCCGUCCUUCGACGAUUAAUCUACUUCUACCAUGCAAGUGUAACUCGCGGAAAAUGCUAUUUUCCGUUUGUCGAAUAAACAAGCAAAUAAAA